CUUCACAGGGAGGUAUAAGGAAGGGAGUCCAGGAUGCACAUGCUCAACCAGCAAGUGGGAGCACUAGAGAUGGACUUGUGGACUGAAGUGGUUUCCCAUGAUAGAGCUGUAUUAGAUAAUCUGAAGGGAGCACAAGGCUAAGUUGGAGGCAAUCAAGGGUUAUACUAUUGGAUUCACCAGAACUAAAGUCAAUGUAAACUUGUCAAAUGGUUCAGGGUCUGGGACUUAUCUACCUAGAACAUAAAAAGGGGACUGGAUGGGGAGUUCUUUGAAAUAUAUAGGUCAAGGGAGACAGACCAAAAGCAGCAUAACCAGAUGGAUGCCAAGGUUAGGGGUAUAGCUCAGUGGAAGAGCACUUGACUAUCACAAGGUCUUGUGUUCAACCCCCAACAUCACACACACAUAAAAAAAGUGACUGCCAAACAUUAUAAAUGAGGAUUAUGACAAUUCCUGAACAUUGUAUCAGAUUUCUCAACAUUCCUGCAAGUUAGUAGAAGAGGAAGCUAAGGAAGAUGCAGUGACUUGUUGUAUAUUAUCCAGGUAGGAUCUGGACAAGCUGUGAUUUAAAUUCUUCCCUGUUCAGCUCCCAGAGCUAUGUUCUUUUCUUCUACAAAUCAGGAAAUUCAGAUUUCAGCAGUGAAGAUAGAACAUCUAAAAAGAUUAAUAUGUUGAGGCAAUGUGUUCAGUGUUACAACUAGAAGUGGGCUUGUUUUGCCUUUGGGGAUUGGCAAUACUUCAGUUUGUUUCCUGGGUUUUUAGCAUGAACAGGAAAUAACUAGAAAAAAGAGAAAUACAAAUUAAAACUACACUGAGAUUCC
rnacentral:lncRNA from 1 species